ACCUGGCUGGCUCAGUUGGUAGAGCGUGCGAUUCUUGAUCUGGGGGUUGUGGGCCCAAGCCCCACGUUGGGUG
rnacentral:tRNA from 1 species